GUAACAAGGUCUCCGUUGGUGAACCAGCGGAGGGAUCAUUACCGAGUUUACAACUCCCAAACCCCAAUGUGAACGUUACCAAUCUGUUGCCUCGGCGGGAUUCUCUGCCCCGGGCGCGUCGCAGCCCCGGAUCCCAUGGCGCCCGCCGGAGGACCAACUCAAACUCUUUUUUCUCUCCGUCGCGGCUUCCGUCGCGGCUCUGUUUUACCUUUGCUCUGAGCCUUUCUCGGCGACCCUAGCGGGCGUCUCGAAAAUGAAUCAAAACUUUCAACAACGGAUCUCUUGGUUCUGGCAUCGAUGAAGAACGCAGCGAAAUGCGAUAAGUAAUGUGAAUUGCAGAAUUCAGUGAAUCAUCGAAUCUUUGAACGCACAUUGCGCCCGCCAGUAUUCUGGCGGGCAUGCCUGUCCGAGCGUCAUUUCAACCCUCGAACCCCUCCGGGGGGUCGGCGUUGGGGAUCGGCCCCUCACCGGGCCGCCCCCGAAAUACAGUGGCGGUCUCGCCGCAGCCUCUCCUGCGCAGUAGUUUGCACACUCGCACCGGGAGCGCGGCGCGGCCACAGCCGUAAAACACCCCAAACUCUGAAAUGUUGACCUCGGAUCAGGUAGGAAUACCCGCUGAACUUAAGCAUAUCA
rnacentral:rRNA from 1 species